GCCUCAGUGAACCGUGCAAUUGGAAAACAUGCAUCAAAACAGAUUCUGAGAUCAGAACAUUCUCAAAAAGAACAAUACAUGGCCACAGUGACAGAUUAUAAGAUGUAAUACACACACGUGGCCAGUAGAGGGAACCUGAUCAGUAGCGGAUGCUUCACUGCAUUCAACG